rnacentral:rRNA from 1 species
AUUGAACGCUGGCGGCAGGCCUAACACAUGCAAGUCGAGCGGAUGACGGGAGCUUGCUCCUUGAUUCAGCGGCGGACGGGUGAGUAAUGCCUAGGAAUCUGCCUGGUAGUGGGGGACAACGUUUCGAAAGGAACGCUAAUACCGCAUACGUCCUACGGGAGAAAGCAGGGGACCUUCGGGCCUUGCGCUAUCAGAUGAGCCUAGGUCGGAGUUAGCUUGUUGGUGAGGUAAUGGCUCACCAAGGCGACGAUCCGUAACUGGUCUGCGAGGAUGAUCAGUCACACUGGAACUGAGACACGGUCCUGACUCCUACGGGAGGCAGCAGUGGGGAAUAUUGGACAAUGGGCGAAAGCCUGAUCCAGCCAUGCCGCGUGUGUGAAGAAGGUCUUCGGAUUGUAAAGCACUUUAAGUUGGGAGGAAGGGUUGUAGAUUAAUACUCUGCAAUUUUGACGUUACCGACAGAAUAAGCACCGGCUAACUCUGUGCCAGCCGCCGCCGUAACAC